rnacentral:sRNA from 1 species
GCCCUAGAACACUUAUAAUGCGGAAUUUGGCUGUUUGCAAAGGACCAAGGAAAUGCUCGGCCUAAGUCAACACUAGAAGAUGACAUUACCUUGAGUGCCACCAAACAGACACCGAAUUCUAAGGCGUUCCUUCGCAUGGCCACUUUUGAAGGGAUCAGGAGCAUCCUAAACACAGUCUGAGCUUUAAGGCCAUGUUGAAUCUGAGACUCUCAAUUCCGUAGACUCCAGGGACUUCCCUAAAGUCUUCAGACUCGGCUGCCUCAUCAUCUUGAAAGGGGGGUGAAGUGUGAACUCCAGGGAUGCCUCAAGGACUGAAGACAAAGCAUGGACGAGACUCCUGAGCUUUCCAGAUCCACUCACGGUUAGCCACUCCAUGGGACGUUAGUCGUGAACACAUUCAGUUAAGGUGAGAUGAGCUAUGAUGGCAGUUACCUAGCAAUGUAGGCUGGCAAUCUACAUCUCUUUUUUAGAUGAAAGUCUCUGAAUAUUA